rnacentral:pre_miRNA from 1 species
UAAGUUAAGAAACUGUUUCUUAACUUUUAACUAAAAAAACUAAAAACCGGUCCUUAAAUAAAGACUUUAAGAACCAGUUCUUAGCUUUUUUAGUUAAAAGUUAAGAAACAAUUUUUUUAACUUC